UACGGAGGGUGCGAGCGUUGUCCGGAAUCACUGGGCGUAAAGGGCGCGUAGGCGGCUUCUCAAGCGUGUGGUGAAAGUCCGGGGCUCAACCCCGGAUCGGCCGUGCGGACUGGGGAGCUCGAGUUCUGUAGAGGCGGGUGGAAUUCCGGGUGUAGCGGUGGAAUGCGUAGAGAUCCGGAAGAACACCGGUGGCGAAGGCGGCCCGCUGGGCAGAGACUGCACGCUGAGGCGCGGACAGCGUGGGGAGCAAACGAGG
rnacentral:rRNA from 1 species